GGGGGAAAUGGCGGUUUUUGUUUAAAGAAAGUUUCAUCAAAGCCUGUUUCGCCCCACCCAGGGCCGUGUCCUGGGCCGGGGGGGGCUGUUGGUGUGACCACCCCAACCCCCGGGGAGGGGACGGCUCCCAGGCGCUCAGAGAGUGACCCCGUCCCCGCUGCCAGCUGUCACUGCUUUAGAAAUGGGGGGCCCCUGGCCAAGGCAGCGGGGGGGGGACACAGCCAUGGGACCCCCCUGGCUGGGUUGUGCUGGUGGCAGAUGGAAUGUGUGGGGGACACCCCCCCCCAUCCCACCAUGGAUUUAUAACGCAGGGGACCCCGUCUCCUGGGGCAGGACCUGCUUUUGGGGGACACCCCCCCCUUCCCGACGCUGCUGCCUUCCUUGGAGCCCCAAAACAGCUGAGAGGGGGUCCCACGCUGCACCCCCCCAGCUGAACCCCCCAAAACCACAGCGUCGCUCCUCUGGUGGCUUGAAACCGCAGAGGGGACAAAUUUGGGGACAAAACGGCACUUUUGUACACCGGGAGGGCAGGGCCCCCCCUUUUUUUGUGGGGGGACGGAUCUGCCGGGCAUCCCGGCGCGGUGUCGGCCCCGGCGUGGCGGCAUCUUUUGUUGCCACGCCGCUGGCUUUGUUCAACGCCGGGGUGGCACGCGGAGGGGGGGACCGUCCCCAGCGAGGGGGGGGGGCGGUCCCCCAACAAGGAGGGGACCCACACAGCUCCGUGAGGCUCCUCCGGGAGUCAGAUCCAUCACCCAGGUCAGACUUUUGCUCUUUUGGGGGGGGGGCUGCUCCCCGCCCCCCCCCAACUCAGCUCUUUGCACCCGGAGGCGGUGACGCCGCAGGUGGCUUUUAUUUUUUGGGGAGGGGGACACACCGUGGGGUGGUGGCACAGGGGUUGUCAUCACCCCAAAAUCUUUCCCCCCCCCAUCCCCGCCCCGGGUCUGGCUGGAGUUCGUCGGCUCCGGAGGUUGGCGCGGGUGUGUUCUCACGCAGGAAAAGAAACGGGCUAUCUUGGGCGAAGUCGUGUCGGUGCCAACAGAAAUACACCCGCCGUAGGCGUCGCACCGCGGCGCCGGCAAAAAAACCCAAAAAACCCCCCCCCAGAUUCUAUUUAAAGCAGAAAAACUUUCUGCUCCCCAUGAGCACCGCGGAGGUCGGAUGCAGAGGGACCCCCCGAAACCCCCGGCCCGGAGAAGCCGCGGUGCCCGUGUCGGGGAUUUGGCUGAACCCCCGUUUCGGNNNNNNNNNNNNNNNNNNNNNNNNNNNNNNNNNNNNNNNNNNNNNNNNNNNNNNNNNNN
rnacentral:lncRNA from 1 species